rnacentral:rRNA from 1 species
UCCGUUUGAUCCCGGCGGAGGCCACUGCUAUCGGGGUUUGAUUAAGCCAUGCGAGUCGAGAGAUUUCGGAUCUCGGCAUACUGCUCAGUAACACGUGGUCAAUCUGCCCUAUGGUGGAGGAUAUCCCCGGGAAACUGGGACUAAUACUCCAUAGAUUAGGUGAAUUGGAAUUAUCACUUAAUUGAAAGAUCCGUCGCCAUAGGAUGAGACUGCGUCCGAUUAGGUUGUUGUUGGGGUAUGUGCCCACCAAGCCUAUAAUCGGUACGGGUUGUGGGAGCAAGAGCCCGGAGAUGGACUCUGAGACACGAGUCCAGGCCCUACGGGGCGCAGCAGGCGCGAAACCUUUACAAUGCGGGCAACCGUGAUAAGGAAACCCCGAGUGGAUGAACAGUCAUCCUGUCCACCAGUUUAGAACACUGGUGAAGAAAGGGCCGGGCAAGACCGGUGCCAGCCGCCGCGGUAAUACCGGCGGCUCGAGUGGUGGCCACUAUUACUGGGCUUAAAGGGUCCGUAGCUUGCAUGAUCAGCUUCUUGAGAAAUCCACUGGCUUAACCAAUGGUCGUUCAGGAGGUACUGUCAUGCUAGGGACCGGGAGAGGUAAGGGGUACUGCCGGGGUAGGAGUGAAAUCCCUGUAAUCCUGGUGGGACCACCGGUGGCGAAGGCGCCUUACCAGAACGGCUCCGACAGUGAGGGACGAAAGCUGGGGGAGCGAACCGGAUUAGAUACCCGGGUAGUCCCAGCCGUAAACGAUGCGCGUUAGGUGUGUCAGUGACCACGUGUCACUGAGGUGCCGAAGGGAAACCGUGAAACGCGCCGCCUGGGAAGUACGGUCGCAAGGCUGAAACUUAAAGGAAUUGGCGGGGGAGCACCACAACAGGUGGAGCCUGCGGUUUAAUCGGACUCAACGCCGGGAACCUCACCAGAUAAGACAGCAGAAUGAAAGUCGGGAUGAAGACUCUACUAGACUCGCUGAGAGGAGGUGCAUGGCCGUCGUCAGUUCGUACUGUGAAGCAUCCUGUUUAGUCAGGCAACGAGCGAGACCCA